rnacentral:rRNA from 1 species
GAUGAACGCUGGCGGCGUGCCUAAUACAUGCAAGUCGAGCGAACAGACGAGGAGCUUGCUCCUCUGACGUUAGCGGCGGACGGGUGAGUAACACGUGGAUAACCUACCUAUAAGACUGGGAUAACUUCGGGAAACCGGAGCUAAUACCGGAUAAUAUAUUGAACCGCAUGGUUCAAUAGUGAAAGACGGUUUUGCUGUCACUUAUAGAUGGAUCCGCGCCGCAUUAGCUAGUUGGUAAGGUAACGGCUUACCAAGGCGACGAUGCGUAGCCGACCUGAGAGGGUGAUCCGCCCCACUGGAACUGAGACACGGUUCCGACUCCUACGGGAGGCAGCAGGAGGGAAUCUUUCGCAAUGGGCGAAAGCCUGACGGAGCAACGCCGCGGGAGUGAUGAAGGUCUUCGGAUCCUAAAACCCUGUUAUUAGGGAAGAACAAAUGUGUAAGUAACUAUGCACGUCUUGACGGUACCUAAUCAGAAAGCCACGGCUAACUACGUG